UGGGGAAUAUUGCACAAUGGGCGCAAGCCUGAUGCAGCCAUGCCGCGUGUAUGAAGAAGGCCUUCGGGUUGUAAAGUACUUUCAGUCGGGAGGAAGGUGGUAAGGUUAAUAACCUUAUCAAUUGACGUUACCGACAGAAGAAGCACCGGCUAACUCCGUGCCAGCAGCCGCGGUAAUACGGAGGGUGCAAGCGUUAGUCGGAAUUACUGGGCGUAAAGCGCACGCAGGCGGUUGAUUGAGUCAGAUGUGAAAUCCCCGGGCUUAACCCGGGAAUUGCAUCUGAUACUGGUCAGCUAGAGUCUUGUAGAGGGGGGUAGAAUUCCAUGUGUAGCGGUGAAAUGCGUAGAGAUGUGGAGGAAUACCGGUGGCGAAGGCGGCCCCCUGGACAAAGACUGACGCUCAGGUGCGAAAGCGUGGGGAGCAAACAGG
rnacentral:rRNA from 1 species